rnacentral:snRNA from 1 species
AGCUUUGCACAGUGGCAGUAUUGUAGCCAAUGAGGUUUAUCCAAGGUGCAAUUAUUGCUAAUUGAAAACCUUUCCCAAUACCCCGCCAUGAUGACUGAAAAUAUAGUCGGCAUUGGCAAUUUUUGGCAGUCUCUACGGAGA